GAGGGUGUGGCUCAGUGGUACAGCACACGCCGAGCACGCACAAGGUCCUGGGUUCAAUUCCCAGUACCUCCA
rnacentral:tRNA from 1 species